rnacentral:rRNA from 1 species
AUUAAAUUCUCAACCUUACAAAUUUUUGUAUUUGUCAAGGCUUGGAUGUGAGAGUUGCUAGUUAAGAAUAUCUGACUGGCUCUCUUUAAAACUAUUAGUAGGACAUAUAGAAAUGCCUGCGGUUGGUGUGAUAAUAUGUCUACGCCUAUACCAAAGGGGAUUCUAGCUUGUAUGCACUACUUAUAAAAUCAUGCGCAUAUAUCUAGCAUUAUAAGUGCAUAAUUGACUAU